AUGCUUAUAGCAGCCCGUAUCACAUAUUCACCACAGAUGUUGAAGGAAGUAACCUCACUUCAGAAUAGUAGUACCAUUAUUUUUAGAGCUUUUCAGAGUGAGUCUGGAAAGCUGCAGCAGCUUCCCCUGGCUGGGGCUAAGUUCCAGAGAUGUUCACAUCUGCUAUCUAAAACAAGAGCCUCAAAAACUAGAUCCUGUCAUCUUUCUGUGACUCCAAAGGAGAAGGCACGGGUGCACACUGCGGGGUAGCCAGUCCAAGCAUCCAGUUUCAGAACACAGGUAUUUUGAAUAGUUUGUGGUAGCAAAUCUGUGUCCCUCUGGAACAGUGAGUGUCCUGGUGCUUACAGGAGUAUUUGCAGAAAUCUGUUUUGAAUGGAGUGUAAGGGAUCUGUUUUUAUAGCCCCAGUUUUCUAAGUACUUUGAAAAGAGCUGCUGCAAAACCAGAAUCUGUUGUUUCUAGUGAAUCUUUACUGAAGUUAUACACUGCAAAACCCAGCAAAGUGGAGAAACAAGUUCUGAAAAUACCUGUCUGAUGCCCUGCAUUGAAUAGGGAAGCCUAAAAAACAGCUAAACUACUUGGACUUAAUCCAGGGAUUUUUAAGUAGAGUGCCAGGUCCUCCUUGAAAAGGGUUCACAAGCAAUUUCUGAUUAAUCAGCAAGCAUAGAUUAAAGAAAAGCAGCUAAAGUAAAAACACCUUUAGAGUUUGAGAUACAGCCCAUAAGGAUUGCAUUCAGCCUGCAAGUGAGCAUUCAUUUCUAAGCUGAAAUGAGAGUUCGAGCUGGGAAGGAGACAACAGUAGAAUGAGAGGAGGAAGGUUGGAUCAAAGGUUUUGUUCAGAGCGGCAUUUACUGCUGGUCCCCCCGAUUUGAAGAGGGGGCAAGACAAGGUUUGAAGCAGAAUUAAGUAUGCAUAGCAUGAUUGAGUCAGCUUUGAAUGACUUGGAAAACUCUUGAACUGAUCGCUGCCUAGAGAGAUUUCCACAUAACCUCAGAAAGCAUGUUUCUGUUUCUGAAGGUAGACUGGCUUUUAAUUUCCCCUUGCCUUCACCCCUCACCCCCUGGCUCCCCUUGCCUUUUGGCAGUCCUUGGAUUAUAGAGGUUGCUAACUUGGAAAUGUACUGUUGAAACAUCACCCUGUUAAACUGUAGCCCUGUCAGCUCCAUUCCCUGUGAGCACCCUCCAGCUUUUACAUGUGGUCUGUAAUGAGGCAAAGGAAAGGUAAAACCAUGAAGUGACAGUCCCUCUCUGG
rnacentral:lncRNA from 1 species